rnacentral:lncRNA from 1 species
ACCCCCUCAUUUCUAAACUCCUCAUUCUUCCACUUCUCUCACAUCUCUCUAAACUUAAAACCUCUCUACCUCCCUCUUUUCCCUCCACCGCCGCCGCCGCCGCCGCCCAUGGAAUUCUUUUCCGGCGGCGGCCUAUCUCUAAAUUCUCUCAAAUUCACACAAUCUUCUCCUCUUCUCCUCAUCUACCUCAUCUUAUCAACCAAACUCCCAAAUACCCAACCAAAAUUCGUAGAUCUUAGAUCUAAAAAAGCCAAAAACCUAGAUCUACCCUCCUUUUUUUUGGUGCAUUUUCCUAGCCGUUAAAAAAUUCUCCGGUCAAGAUCUCCCAUAAAGGAUCUUAGAUCCAAGACGAGUGUCUUGAUUUGAGGAUUUUUUUCACGGUUAGACCCAUGUAAUUUUGUUAUUUAAUUUCCACCUUCCUUAAUUUAUUUAUGCAUUUAUAUUUUUCGUAUUUUUAUUCUCUUAUGUAUGUUAUUUUCUGUAUUUUUGUUUUAUUUAUUUAUUUAUUUUCUGUUUUUUAUUUUAUUUAUAUUCUGAAUAUGUUUUUAAUAUAUUUAUUUUUGUCCGAAUUUUAUUUAUUUAUUUUUUCUGUUUAACGCAUAUUUUAAACCUCUGUUAUAAUUAAUUAAUUACUUAAGUCAUAUUUAACUAAAAAAAAAGAUGUGUAGAUAGAUUUUAAUUAGAUAAAAAUGAUAAAUAAAAAAUUAUUAUUAAAAAUGUAGUAGUUAUAUUCCGUUUUUAUUUUUAUUUUAUUUACAUCUAAUCAUUUUAAUUACUGUUAUUCUAUUAAAUAUAUUAUGUAGUUAUUAAUGGGUUGUAUUACUAAUAACAAGUAGUGGUAGGGUAGAAAUUGCACUGCUUUUAAAUAACAAGUAGUGGUAGGGUAGGAAUUGCACUACUUAAUUUAAAUAAUAGCACUAGCUUAGUGGAAAAUUUAAAAAUGAAAAGCUAAUUUGAUAAUGGAGGAUGCAUUAACAGGAAUUGUCUAUAAAAAUGCUGGUUUUGAGAGAUUAAAAAAAAAGGAGAGAAUAAAAAGAGAAGACAGAAUACAGAAGAAAAUUGGAAGAGAGAUAGAAAUUGGAGAAAUUUCAAAACUAAAGGAGAGAACAAAAACUGAAAAAAAAUCUUCUACUUUCCUUCAUUGUUUGAAAUCAGCAUUAAUUGUUGUUGUUUCAUCGAAGCUUGAAGCUUCUUUUUUUGGGAUUACUACUCCACCGGUUUGCAAACUCUAUUCCUGGGUUGUUACUGUUGUUGGGCUGUUGUUGUUGUGCUGUAUUGUUACUACUGCUGCUGAUUCUCAUCUUCAUUUUCUUUUGCUUCCAAUAUCAGGUACACGACUGUAAUACUAGCUAUUGCAAGCUAAUAAUGUGGAAGCAUGAAUACAUAUGAAGAAUGAAAUUCUGAAGUUUUAAUUUCGCUUUUUCUUUGUUCCUUUUAUUGAUUGUAUUUAAGCUAUUUCAUAUAUUACUGAAUAAUGAUUGGAAUAAGAAAAAAUAACAUAAGUUAGUCUUUAAUGAAUCAGUUUGGCAAAACGGGUUAAUUCACUAGUUAUGAAGGUUUCAAGAUUAUCAACAGUAGG